rnacentral:rRNA from 1 species
GACGAACCGUGCGAACGUUGUUCGGAAUCACUGGGCUUAAAGGGCGCGUAGGCGGGCGCACAAGUCAGGGGUGAAAGCCCACGGCUCAACCGUGGAAGGGCCUUUGAUACUGUGUGUCUUGAGGGAGGUAGGGGCGUGCGGAACUUCCGGUGGAGCGGUGAAAUGCGUAGAUAUCGGAAGGAACACCGGUGGCGAAAGCGGCGCGCUGGAUCUCUUCUGACGCUGAGGCGCGAAAGCCAGGGGAGCAAACGGG